rnacentral:rRNA from 1 species
CCUACGGGAGGCAGCAGUGGGGAAUAUUGCACAAUGGGGGGAACCCUGAUGCAGCGACGCCGCGUGAGUGAUGAAGUUUUUCGGUAUGUAAAGCUCUUUCUGCAGGGACGAAAAUGACGGUACCUGACUACGAAUCCACGGCUAACUACGUGCCAGCAGCCGCGGGAAUACGUAGGGGGCAAGCGUUAUCCGGAUUUACUGGGCGUAAAGGGAGCGUAGACGGCUGUGUAAGUGUGGAGUGAAAGGCGGGGGCCCAACCUCCGGACUGCUUUGGAAACUGGAAGGCUAGAGUGCAGGAGAGGGAAGCGGAAUUCCUAGUGUAGCGGUGAAAUGCGUAGAUAUUAGGAAGAACACCAGUGGCGAAGGCGGCUUGCUGGACUGAAACUGACGUUGAGGCUCGAAAGCGUGGGGAGCAAACAGGAUUAGAUACCCGAGUAGUC